UGCAGUGGGCGGCGGAGGUAUAGCCUCUCCCUCUCAGUCUGGAGGCUAAUUUGAUUGCAACAAAUAAGAGAGAGAGAGAGCAAAGUCUCCAAGGAACCGAAAGAUCCUCUGCUUAAUGGGACGGGAGCAGUGACCACCCAUGCAGUGUGAGUGAAACCUUGUUGUUUGUUCUCUCUGUGUCUCCCUCCCAUUUAAUAAAAUUCUCGCUGCUGCAUUAACUGGAAACUCCAGGAUCUCCAUAAUAUUUGGUUGCAGACGAUUGAAUGUAUUUGGCAGGUUUUUCAUUUGAAUUCUACGUGCAGCCCCCGUGCCCAAUCUCCUGAGCAGUCCUGAAAAUGUUGCCUCAGGAUGAGAGAACAGAUCAACCACGGGCUGACAAGAAUCCUACUUCGACCAUGACACUGUGCAGUAAAUCAUGUGUGAUGCAGAUAUGCCAACAUCAGAAGGGAAUUCCAGGAUUUUGAUCUAGCAACAAUGAAGGAAGUGCAAUUAGAAGUGCCAAUCUAGCAUGUGCAUGCUUUGGAGAGGAAGAUAGUAAUGUCCCCAACUGUCUGCCCGCCCUACUCCUUCUAACAGAUUUGGAAAGUGCCGUUAUAGGAGAGUUGGAAAUUUCUAAGAGUGACUACACUUUCAAUGUGCUCCAUUGGCUGUAAAGCACUUUAGGGUGCCUUGGUCUGUUAUAUUACAACAAUAACUAUAUAUUUCAAAAAUACUUCAUUGCUGUAAAAUUCCUUCACUUCCAGAGGUUGUGAAAAUGCCAUCCAAAAUGCAAGUCUUUUUUUCUCUCCUUACUCUGAUAAUAAAACUCUUCAUCUUGAUUUUGUGCAACUACAGUCCUAUUUGCCUGUUGCGGUGCUGUUGAAUCAGGCCUCGCAAUAAACUGAGGUUUGUUAAGUUAAACAUCAUAGAUAUUAAGCUCUGGGCAUUAUUUCAAACCCCCAACCACAUCCAGAAUCUCCCCUCUAAUUGUUACUGAAGGUUUGUGCUGAGGUUAUUAGUCUAGUAGUGUAUUUUGAGAGUGACUUGACAAUCGGCCUCAGGACCCCAGGGUGAGGAACGAGACUGUUUGAUUUGAUUCUUGCCCCUCUUUGUCUUAAAGUAUAAAUAAGGGGGAACAGCCAUAAUGUGAUUCCUUCCACUGUCGAUAUAUAAUGAUCACUUGGGUAAGCUUUUAGAGAAUAAUCAACUAAGCAGUCAGCUGACAUCUUUGGGUGGGGUAGAAAGGAAAAUGAAACUUUUGUUUCUUGAGUUGUUUUUCUAAGUCUUUUGAAAAAGCCUUCAUUUUGAACAAAUAAUUGGAGCUGAUUCUGCAAUGCUUGGGAAACUGGUCUAGACCAAACUACAACAAAUGUGCCCAAACUAGCAGCUCACCACUGUCAGAUUACAACAAGUAUCAUUGAACUAUCUUCCCGCCCUGUCCCACCCCUGCAAUAAAAACUCUCCAAUUUCAAACACUAUGGCUUGUUGCCAUUAGAGCCAUUUCUGUUCUUUUUUUGAGAUUUAGUUUUAUCUGAAUCAAAAUGUAGUACCUUCCCCCUCCAUGUGAGAUACCCCUUUGGACGAACAGACUGGGAGGACAGGAAGGUGUACAGUUUCACCCAGUGAAAUUGGGGUAGUUCAGUGCGACAAAAAAUGUUGACAUAAGAAGCUCUCUGCACUCCUGGCAAAGUUUUCACUGAGUAUUCAAUGAGAGAAAUAUUGCCCAUCUUUGCAGAAGAGCAAAUUAAGGGAAGAUCUGACUUCCUGGGAACUGCAAUUGAGGAGUGAGGCACCUUUUUAGAUAUGCAAGGGCAGUUCUUAUAUACACUCUUUCUAUCCUAACCAUAGGUUGUUCUCUUCUGUGCCACCAUCUAUGUGUAGAAUUUGAGGAGAGAACACUAGAGUAGCUCUGGCUCAGAGUUUGAGUUCUGUGCCAAUACAUCCCUUGCACGUGUUUGAAAAUUAGAAAGACUUGCAUUUCUAUAGCUCCUUUCAGAAUAUCCCAAAUAGUUUACAUUGUGAAGGGGAGACACUAAUAGUUUAGGAUGUGCAGCCAAUUUUUUUCACAGUAAUCUGCUACAAGAGCAAAGUGACAACACUCAAGUCAUUUUGUUUUUGGUGGCGUUGAUUGAAGGAUAGAUAUUGGUGACCGGGAAUGGAGGCUAGUAGCCAUGUAAUUGGAUUGAUAAUCCAGAGGCCUGGACUAAAGCUCUGACUUCAAUUACCACUGUGUGGAAUUUAAAUACACUUGAUAAAUCAGGAAAUAAAGAGCAGUAACUACUACUAUGAAACAGAUGUAAUAACUUUUAUUCUUACAGAUGUAGGAGUCACUGGCUAAAUUGGUAUUUAUUUUCCAUCCUCAAUCACCCUUGGACAAUGGACUGAACUUCUGCUGCUGUGUCUUAUGAAACUUGUGGCUUGCUGGCUGUUUCAGAGCACAGUACAAGUCAAAAACACCACUAUAGAUCUUGAGUCCCAUGCCAUUCUGGCUCUAGCUAACAAUUUUCCUCCUUUAAAAACCCAAAUACGUUUUUACAACAAUUGAUAACUUCAUGAUCACCAUUACCAAGACUGGCUUUCGAUUCCUGAUUUUAUUAAUUGAAUUUAAAUUCUAUCUGCUGCCAUUAUGUGAUUUUUUUUUUUGCAGUGACAUCAUCAAUGUAGAACCAGCUGGUUCACUGCUAUCCCUUUUGGGACCGAAAUCUGCCAUCCUUUCUGGUAUCACCUUCAUGUGACUCCAAUCCUACACCAACGUGGUUGACUCGUAACUGCCCUCUGCAGUUUCCUCGAGUUGAGCGAAUUUCAAUGACCGCUAGGUCUUGCCAAUGAUCCCCACAGCCCAUCAAAGAAUUAAGAAAACAAAAGGAUUCUGGAGAAAAUUUUGCGCAUGGCUUAGAUUCUUUAGCCACUCCCUUAAGAACACCAGGCAAGGCCUUGGCUUAAGCAUCUCACUGAGUGACUGCACCUCUGCAGCACUCUCAGUUCAGUAUUGCAUCAGAAUACUGAAUACAGAAUACUGUCAGGGAUGCCUGCAGCCAGUGUACUGUUGUAUUGUACCUUGCCUUUAACAGAGUUUCACCUUUUAAGGACUGAUAGAAGACUUGUAUUUCUUAGGAAAUACCCAUGUUACAUGGAUGUUAACUGUCAAGGUAAGACUAGCAGAUUAACUAGCUCCUGUGAGAGGCUGUCAGUGAUAACCUGGUGGACAGAGGUAUGUUUGUGUCUUGGUUAAUCCUUUUAGGAUCAACGGUCAUAUACAACAGGCGUAGGCCUAGUUUAUUAUAUGCUGAAGUCUCGUAGAUGAGAUUUUCUGACUGUGUGUGCUCCCCUCUGAGCAAUGUUAUAGAACUAUGGAGGGAAAGCCUGACCAAAAUGUGGUGUACAGCAGUUGUCAGAACUGAAGAGAAAUGGCAGCAAAGUGGAUGCUGGAAAUGUGUUGUGUAACAACUAAUCUCAAAAUGUACUUGUGCAAUUCCUGCAAAUAUUCCCUAUGGAUACACAUAGUCUUUCUGCACGGGAAUCUCCAAAUUAGCUUAGCCAGGUAAAGAAAACGUUACAACAUAGGAAAUAGGAGCAGGAGUAGACUAUCUGACCCAUCAAAUCUGCUCUGCCUUUCAGUCAGAUCUUGG